UACAGAGGGUGCGAGCGUUGUUCGGAAUUACUGGGCGUAAAGCGCGCGCAGGCGGCCUUUUAAGUCUCGUGGUGAAAUGCCGGGGCUCAACCCCGUGCCCGCCGGAGAUACUGGGAGGCUGGAGACAUGUAGAGGCAAGCGGAAUUCCGGGUGUAGCGGUGGAAUGCGUAGAGAUCCGGAAGAACACCGGUGGCGAAGGCGGGUCUCUGGGCCGAUAUUGACGCUGAGGAGCGAAAGCGUGGGGAGCGAACAGG
rnacentral:rRNA from 1 species